ensembl:lncRNA
CGCUAAAGCCACGCCCCCUUCCGGUUGCUCGCCCUGGUUUGUUACCGGUGUGUAGAACGUUCGGCGUGUUGUCUUGAUUGGCGUUGUAGGAAGCUACAGCGGCUGGAGCGGCUCCUGACGUGCUCUCCUUGUGUGUAUGUGUGUGUGUGCCACGCAGCUGCUCAGAGAGGCUGAGCAUCUGUGGUAGGGACGUGGUGUUGUCAGUGGUGGUAUCCUUCCCUGUGUGAUGUGUGAACCCUGGGUAUUUUUCGUUUCAUCCAUCACCUGUGUGUGUGAUUUUAUUCACCUGGUGACCUCUCCCUGUUCCUCCCCUCUGGUGACACAUCCUGCCACAUGGAUGGAUCUGCAGAGACUUUGAUUCAUCUGCCGUCUGGACAUGGAGUGAUGUGGGUCUCCUCUAAUCAGACAGUGGGAUGCUGCAAGUCACUAGACUGACCUCCUGUGCUUUGGAAGGGGAGGAGCUCACAGCGCCACCUGCUGCUCGUUGAGGACAAUGCACAAUGAGGGACGUCUGCAGAGACUGAGAAAGAGUCUCAUCACAUCCUGACAUGAGGAAAAAGACUUCAUUGAAGACUACAAUGAGAAAAACUAUCAGACAGCAGACGGCUGCAUUCAAGGUGAACUCUGAACAUUUGAUCUGGAACAGGAAUUCAAUAACGGCAGCAUGAGCUUCAUUUCAGUCUGUAGCUGCUGAAUUCAUGGAUGAAUCAUCUGGCACUAGAGAGGAAGACCAUCAAACAUCCACAUCAGCUGAUGGAGGUCCAAGAGUCUCACCCAACAAACAACCUACAGAGUGAAGACCUCCAAUCUGAUUGGACGGCCUCCUAUUCAGCCACAUGUGUGAACAAAUGCCUCUAAGCUGAUUUGUUUUCUAAAAUAAAUCUAGUUUGAGUCCUAAUCUAUGCCUGUGUGUUUGCUUCUUGACACUGCUGUUAACAGUUUAGGCUGCUAGAUUGUUCCAGAUAAGACAAGUACAAGAUUCUUCAGAGCUGUUCUACCACGAGCCUGACAGGAAGAACUCCAACAGCUACUGAAUGUUCCUGUGGUUCCCUCAAGGCUACAGGAGGAGCCCUACGAGGACGAGCCGGUCCACCUGAUGGCGGCCAGUCGCUGCGGUUCAAAGCCAACACCGACUACGUGGACUUCUACUGGACCACACGGAGGCCUUCAAACCGGACCAACAAGUUCAGCGACUCCCCGACUCGUGGGUCUGAGGACGCCGCCGAGCCUCGGUCCAGCCGGCCUCCUGUCUGUGGGUGUUUGAGUGCUGAGAGGUUUGUGGAUGCAUGUGAACGUUCUGUGUUGAAACAGCAGCUUUGGACUCAGUAACGCCGGGAAAAACCAAGAGCUCCUUUAUUUGUGACUUCCACUAAAAAAACUGAUGAAAAUAAGUUUGCCAGGGUUCUGACUGAUAACAGAUUAUUAAAUAAUGAAAAUAACUGUUUAAAUAUUCCUUUAAACAAUCCUUAGGUCUACAUUUCCUUUACACUGACUUCUUGGUAAAUGUACAAGUAUUUUUGGUGGAAUGUACCAUUAAGCCUAAUGUUCAAGGGUUCUUCUGGGAACAUACCAUUAAACCAACCUUUUAGGUAAAUGUUCCAGGAUGUUGGGUAGAAUAUACCAUCAGAUCAACCUUUUAGAUGUACAUUGGAAGAUUUUAGAGUGGAAUAUUACUCCAAACUCCUUUACACCAAGAUUUUUUGGUCUACAUUGAAGGAUUUUAGGUGGAAUAUUCCUUUGAACGAACUUUUUAAGUUUAUGUUCCAAGAUGUUGGGUGGAAUAUACCAUCAGACCAACCUCCAAGGUCUACAGUAGUGAAUUUUAGGUGGAAUAUACCAUUAAACUCACCUUUUAGGUCUACAUUGGAGGAUUUUAGGUGGAAUUUUCUUCCAAACAUCUUUUAGUCUACAUUUAAGGAUGUUUAGGAUGGUAUAUUCUUCCAAACCAACUUCUCAGGUCUACAUUUCAGGUGGAAUAUUCCUCCAUACUAUCUUUUUUGGUCUACAUUGAAGGAUUUUUUCUAAACCACCCUUUGGGGUCUAUAUUUGAGGUUUUAGGUGGAAUAUUCCUUUAAACCAACCUAAAUUUCAUGUUUUGAUCAUUAUCAAGUGAGAAACCUCAGUCCAGACUCCUCAUAACGACGUUUGAGAUUUAUGCUGCUGUUAUUUGUUUAGUCCAGACUAAAUGACAGAAAUCCACAACUGUAAUUUUAUUUCAGGACUCGGUUAUUAAAUGUCAAAACAAUCUAUGUGACUCUAAAAACUCAACAGCUUUACAAACUCUAAGAUUAAACUCUCCACAAGGAUCUAAAAUAGGUUGGACUUCUACAUGAGAGCUUUAAUUAUUCUUCAUCUACUUCCUGAAAAGUUUGGUCAAUAAAAAAGACAAAAACUAAUAUUUUCAGCUGAACUAAAGACAGACUUUGUGAUUUUUCUGCUCACAUGUUGUGUUGUUGUAAACUUCCUC